CUGACUGCUAUCGGAUUGAUACUAAGCCAUGCGAGUCAUUGUAGCAAUACAAGGCAGACGGCUCAGUAACGCGUAGUCAACCUAACCUAUGGACGGGAAUAACCUCGGGAAACUGAGAAUAAUGCCCGAUAGAACACUAUGCCUGGAAUGGUUUGUGUUCCAAAUGAUUUAUCGCCGUAGGAUGGGACUGCGGCCUAUCAGUUUGUUGGUGAGGUAAUGGCCCACCAAGACUAUUACAGGUACGGGCUCUGAGAGGAGUAGCCCGGAGAUGGGUACUGAGACACGGACCCAGGCCCUAUGGGGCGCAGCAGGCGAGAAAACUUUGCAAUGUGCGAAAGCACGACAAGGUUAAUCCGAGUGGUUUGUGCUAAACAGACCUUUUGUUAGUCCUAGAAACACUAACGAAUAAGGGGUGGGCAAGUUCUGGUGUCAGCCGCCGCGGUAAAACCAGCACCUCAAGUGGUCAGGAUGAUUAUUGGGCCUAAAGCAUCCGUAGCCGGCUCUGUAAGUUUUCGGUUAAAUCUGUAUGCUCAACAUACAGGCUGCCGGGAAUACUGCAGAGCUAGGGAGUGGGAGAGGUAGGCGGUACUCGGUAGGAAGGGGUAAAAUCCUUUGAUCUAUUGAUGACCACCUGUGGCGAAGGCGGUCUACCAGAACACGUCCGACGGUGAGGGAUGAAAGCUGGGGGAGCAAACCGGAUUAGAUACCGGGGUAGUCCCAGCUGUAAACUAUGCAAACUC
rnacentral:rRNA from 1 species